AUUGAACGCUGGCGGCAGGCCUAACACAUGCAAGUCGAACGAGUGGCGGACGGGUGAGUAAUGUCUGGGAAACUGCCUGAUGGAGGGGGAUAACUACUGGAAACGGUAGCUAAUACCGCAUACCCUCAGAUGUGCCCAGAUGGGAUUAGCUUGUUGGGGGGGUAACGGCUCACCAAGGCGACGAUCCCUAGCUGGUCUGAGAGGAUGACCAGCGACCCUGGAACUGACACACGGUCCAGCCUCCUACGGAAGGCAGCGGUGGUGAAUAUUGCACAAUUGGGGAAAGCCUGAUGCAGCCAUGCCGCGUGUAUGAAGAAGGCCUUCGGGUUGUAAAGUACUUUCAGCGGGGAGGCGUUACCCGCAGAAGAAGCCCCGGCUAACUCCGUGCCAGCAGCCGCGGUAAUUC
rnacentral:rRNA from 1 species